CCAAUAGCGUAUAUUAAAGUUGUUGCAGUUAAAAAGCUCGUAGUUGAACUUCGGGGUCUACCCAUUGGUCAGGCUUAAUUGUCUGCACUGGUGAGAUGGAUCUCUACCUUCUGAGGAACUUUCAUGCCAUUUAUUUGGUGUGGUUGGAAAUCAGGACUGUUACUUUGAAAAAAUUAGAGUGUUUAAAGCAGACUAUCGUCUGAAUACAUUAGCAUGGAAUAAUGAAAUAGGACGGACUGAUUCUAUUUCGUUGGUUUCUAGGAUCACCGUAAUGAUUAAUAUGGAUAGUUGGGGGCAUUAGUAUUCAAUUGUCAGAGGUGAAAUUCUUGGAUUUAUUGAAGACUAACUACUGCGAAAGCAUUUGCAAAGGAUGUUUUCAUUAAUCAAGAACGAAAGUUAGGGGAUCGAAGACGAUCAGAUACCGUCGUAGUCUUAACCAUAAACGAUGCCAACCAGCGAUUAGCCUGAGUUCCUUAAAUGACUCGGCUAGCAGCUUCCG
rnacentral:misc_RNA from 1 species